rnacentral:rRNA from 1 species
GAUGAACGCUGGCGGCGUGCUUAACACAUGCAAGUCGAACGGAAAGGCCUCAGCUUGCUGGGGUGCUCGAGUGGCGAACGGGGGAGUAACACGUAGGUGAUCUGCCUUUCACUUCGGGAUAAGCUUGGGAAACUGGGUCUAAUACCGGAUAUUCACGGCACCGUGGUUUGUGUGGUUGAAAGCUUUUGCGGUGGGAGAUGAGCUUGCGGCCUAUCAGCUUGUUGGUGGAGUAAUGGCCUACCAAGGCGGCGACGGGUAGCCGGCCUGAGAGGGUGUGCGGCCACAUGGCGACUGAGAUACGGACCAGACUCCUACGGGAGGCAGCAGUGGGGAAUUUUGCACAAUGGGCGCACGCGUGAUGCAGAGACGCCGUGUGGGGGAUGAAGGCCUUCGGGUUGUAAACUCCUUUCGUCAGAGACGAAGUUUGUUUGACGGUACCUGGACAAGAAGCACCGGCUAACUACGUG